rnacentral:lncRNA from 1 species
GGCUGCAACCCACAGCAUAUAGAGGUUUCCAGGCUAGGGGUCUAAUUGGAGCUGUAGCCACCGGCCCACACUACAGCCAGAGCAACAUGGGAUCUGACCCAGGUCUGCAACCUAUGCCACAGCUCAGAGCAACGCUGGAUCCUUAACCCACUGGGCAAGGCCAGGGAUUGAACCCACAUCCUCAUGGAUCCUGGUCAAGUUUGUCAACCACUAAGCCAUGACAGGAACUGAUACCACUUAUAUCUGGAAUCUAAUAUAUGACACAAUGAACCUAUCUACAGAAAAGAAACAAACUCAUGGACAUGGAGAAUAGAGCUGUGGUUGUCAAGGGGGAGGAGGAAGAAGUGGGAUGGACUGGGAGUCUGGGGUUAAUAGAUGCAAACUACUGCACUUGAAGCUGAUAAGCAAUGAAAUCCUGCUGCACGGCACAGGGAACUAUAUCCAAACACUUGUGAUGGAACAUAAUGGAGGAUAACAUGAGAAAAAAAAAUGUGUGUGUAUAUACAUAAACUGGGUCACUUUGCUGUACAGCAGAAAUUGACAACACUAUAAAUCAAGUAUAAUAAAAAUUUUUGUGUAGAAAGAAAAUGUGCUUAGUCAUCUGACAAUGCAAAUUAAAAUCACAAUUAAAAAACGUUUCACCUUUAAAAUGGCUAAAAUGAGUAUACAAAGCCACUAGUACCGUUAUACCAUGCUAACUGGAGUGUAAAAGGAUACGACCACUUUGGAACACUGUUCAGUAUUUUCUCAUAACACUUAAGUACACCCACUACCUCCUAUGUCUAAGUAUUUGCCCAUGAGAAAUGAAGCAGAUACAAAAGAUUCAAAUAAGAGCGCUCCUGUCGUGGCGCAGUGAAAUGAAUCCAUCUAGGAACUAUAAAGCUGCAGGUUCGAUCCCUGGCCUCACUCAGUGGAUUAAGGAUCUGGCGUUGCUGUGAGCUGUGGUGUAGGUCACAGAUGCGGCUUGGAUCUGAUGUUGCUGUGGCAGGCAGCUGUAGCUCCAAUUAGACCCCUAGCCUGGGAACCUCCAUAUGCUGCAAGUGCGGCCCUAAAAAAAAAAGACUCAAACAGGAAAUAUUCAUAGCAGCAGUGUAUUGGAAACACUGUGUUGAGCAAACACAAAAGAGGUCAUACUUUAUGAUCCCAUGUUCCCAUUUAUAUAAAGUCCUACAACAGUCAAAAAAAUUUGUGGUGAAAGAAAUCAAGAGUGGUUGCUUCUGGGAGGAAAAGGGGAUUAACUGGAAAGGGGUAUGAUGGAAUGUCCCUGGGUGAUGGAACUGGUUGCAUACUUUGACUGGAAUGUUGGUUAUAUGACUGUAUACAUUUGUCAAGUACUUAGAGAGUACUUAUCGAAUCGUACUCUUAAAGUCUAUAUUUUAUUGUGUGUAAAUUACAUAAAAUCUUCAAAAGGCUUUUUGGGGGUGGGAAAAAUUAACAAACUGAUUCUAAAUUCUUCAUGCAAAUACAAAGGAGC